rnacentral:tRNA from 2 species
GCGGGUGUGGCGGAACUGGCAGACGCACCAGACUUAGGAUCUGGACCCGGUAACACGGGAUAUGGGUUCGAGUCCCUUCACCCGCA